rnacentral:rRNA from 1 species
GACGUAGGGGGCAAGCGUUGUUCGGAAUUAUUGGGCGUAAAGCGCUUGUAGGCGGGACUGGAAGUCCGUGUUGAAAGACCUCGGCUCAACUGAGGGACCGGCUCGGAUACUCUAGUUCUUGAGGCAAUCAGAGGGUGAUGGAAUUCCCGGUGUAGCGGUGAAAUGCGUAGAUAUGCGGAGGAACACCGAUGGCGAAGGCAAUCCCCUGGGCCUGCACUGACUCAUGCACGAAAGCGUGGGGAGCAAACAG